rnacentral:lncRNA from 1 species
GCGUAUAGACUUAGCAAAGUCACACUUUCCAUAAUCCAGCAUAAACCAUGAUAUGUUGCAGAUGAAUAGCUCAUUCAGUUUAUACUUAUAGACUUCACGCAAGAACUAGUGUAACAAAGACUAUUACAGAACACCAUAGUUUCACAAUGAAUUGAGUAAACGAGCAUAAUUUGAGAUGUAAGCAAAACAAGAAGAUUUCAC